UUUUUUUUUUUUUUUUUUUUUUUUGUUUCUGUUGCUCAC
rnacentral:ribozyme from 1 species